CAGUCGCCGCGGUAAUACGAGGGGUGCAAGCGUUAAUCGGAAUUACUGGGCGUAAAGCGUGCGUAGGCGGUGAGCUAAGUCUGCUGUGAAAUCCCCGGGCUCAACCUGGGAAUGGCAGUGGAUACUGGCUCGCUAGAGUGUGUCAGAGGAUGGUGGAAUUCCCGGUGUAGCGGUGAAAUGCGUAGAGAUCGGGAGGAACAUCAGUGGCGAAGGCGGCCAUCUGGGACAACACUGACGCUGAGGCACGAAAGCGUGGGGAGCAAACAGGAUUAGAUACCCGGGUAGUCCCUGUCUCUUAUAC
rnacentral:rRNA from 1 species